rnacentral:lncRNA from 1 species
GGCCUCGCUGUCACCGCCCAGCUCCCGGCCUCGGCCCGCGCCGCCGGCGCGCCCCCGGUGACGCCCGGGUCGGUACCUUGCGGACCCCCUUGUAGAUAUAGAAGUAGAGCUCCCGGCCCACAUUGAAGCAGAGGCGGUCGCCGUUGCCAGACUGGUCGUUGAGGUUUACGAAGGAGACGCGGACAGGGUUGGAUCCCUGCGAGUUGAAGGGCACCCGGUUGGGCCGGCUGUACUCCGAGUGCUGCAGCAGCUUGUACAGACCUUCCCGGGUGGUGAAUUGGGUCUUAAUCUCGUUCAUCUCCUUCCCUCCUCCCUCCGUCGCCAUCUUGGAAAGCAGCGUUCAUCCUGCCCUAAGUGCCCGGAUCACGCCCACCGCGCAGGCGCCGUCCUCGGCCGCUCGCUUUCUCCACUCCCCACCCCCUUCUCCGCGGCCCCGCCCACUGGCGAGCCAGCCCCCACGAAGGCGGGCCGAAGCGAAGGGGGCGGGCUAGUUUUUAAUGGUCCAACUGCGCACGCGCGCUCACCUGGCGCGCUCCACCCGGAGGGGCGUGCGCAAGCUCCUCCCCUGGGUGCCGCCCUCCUGGUGCGGGUCGAAGCGAGCGCGCUGAGCGUUGGUGCGGGGCUCCUGUCUCGCUCUGCAGCUUCGCUGAGGGACCCGAUCCCUAAGAGACGCCACCGCGUUGGCCUUGGCCAGCUGGUGGUCCCGGCAGAGCCUGAGGCGAGCAGUGAAGUCCGGUGUUUGGACGUGUAUGUCCCAGCUGUCCGCGAUCCUCCCUGGGAAGCUAGGGAGGACUCCGACGGUCCGCUUGGGUGCGGGGUACCGAUGCCUGGUGACAAGCCCCUCUACGUCUCACAGAAGAUAUCGAUGGAUUGGGCUUUAUUACAGCUCAGGGUUUGGUUUGGUUUGGUUUGGUUGGGUUGGGUUGGGUUUUGUAGGCGGGGUGGGAAGAACCGCAUGAAUGUACAGGACUUGUGUUUUCAAGUCUCACCUGAAACCUUCCUGGUGAGCAUUGGCUUGUUCUUGAGAAAGUAGGUUCUGUCGGAACUUCUGUCUCCUGUGCCUCUUAAUAAAGGUUAAGCUAAUUGAUUUUC